AACCAUAGUCCAUAUAUACCCCCCUCCUCCACACUUCCCCAUCAUCAAAGUUUCUUCCUUUCUCUCUUCUCUGUCUUCUCUAACUACUUUCAUUCUUGUUUGACUGUGUUGUUUCAAAAGGGUAAUCCCAAUGGCAAAAGACGUUGAAGUUGCUGAACGUGGCUCUUUCUCCAACAAAGACUACCAUGACCCUCCUCCAGCACCACUCAUUGACGCUGAGGAACUCACAAAAUGGUCCUUUUACAGGGCCCUUAUUGCUGAGUUCAUUGCAACUUUACUUUUCCUUUACGUUACUGUUUUGACCGUGAUUGGUUACAGUAUCCAAACUGAUGUUAAAGCUGGUGGUGAUGAGUGUGGUGGUGUUGGUAUUCUUGGAAUUGCUUGGGCUUUUGGUGGCAUGAUCUUUGUUCUUGUUUACUGCACUGCUGGGAUUUCAGGGGGUCACAUUAACCCGGCAGUGACGUUUGGGCUAUUUUUGGCUCGUAAGGUGUCUUUGAUAAGAGCGGUUAUGUACAUGGUGGCUCAGAGUUUGGGGGCUAUUUGUGGAGUUGGGUUGGUUAAGGCUUUUCAGAAGUCUUACUUUGUUAGAUAUGGUGGUGGAGCUAAUUUUCUUCAACCUGGUUAUAGUACUGGUGUUGGAUUAGGUGCUGAGAUUGUUGGUACCUUUGUUUUGGUUUACACUGUUUUCUCUGCUACUGAUCCUAAGAGAAGUGCUAGAGAUUCUCAUGUGCCGGUAUGUUUUUAAUUCGUUUUUGGUUCUAGUUUUUCUAUAAUGGUUUUUCCUUUUUGUGGAUUUGUUUUCAAAUGCAUAUAUGAGUUUAGUAUGAACUGUAUAGAAUAUAUGAUGUAUGUAUUGACUAUUACAUGAAAGAUUAUGAGUUAACAAGUUUGAUAUGUGUAUCUUUAGAGCAAGUUUUGAAAUAUACUUGAAGAAACAAAUCUUAAGAUUUAUUAACGAAUUUUGGUUGAGUAGAGUUUGAAAUAUACUUUGAAGAAACAAAUCUUGAGAUUUUUAAGAAGUUAAUUGUGUUUUGGAUUCUAAAUGUAGAGUUUUGACGAAAAUAGUGGAAACUCAAAAUUUCAAAACUCAUCUCAAUUAAGGUCUGAUAUGGUCACGAAGUCUUGAACAAUAUUGCAUCCAGAGUUACAAUUAUAGACAUCAAUUUAAAACCAAGAAUUAGAGUUCUUUGGUUGGUUGAAAUGCAUCACUCCUAAUUUUAGGUGUUAAAUUUAAUGAAUUUAAUAUGAUAUACACACAUAAAAAACAUGCAUAUAGUUAAUGUUCAAGAAAAUGAUUUCAAAUUGGCAGUA